rnacentral:rRNA from 1 species
UACGUAGGGUCCGAGCGUUGUCCGGAAUUAUUGGGCGUAAAGAGCUCGUAGGCGGUGUGUCACGUCGUUCGUGAAAACCUGCAGCUUAACUGUGGGCGUGCGGUCGAUACGGGCAUCACUGGAGUUCGGCAGGGGAGACUGGAAUUCCUGGUGUAGCGGUGAAAUGCGCAGAUAUCAGGAGGAACACCGGUGGCGAAGGCGGGGUCUCUGGGCCGAUACUGACGCUGAGGAGCGAAAAGCGUGGGGGAGCAAACAGG